rnacentral:rRNA from 1 species
UUUGACAUUACUUUAGGAAUAAGCCACGGCUAACCUCGUGCCAGCAGCCGCGGUAAGACGAGGGUGGCAAGCGUUACCCGGAUUUACUGGUGCGUAAAGCGUUCGUAAGGUGGGUUUUGAUAGUUUGGUUGGGUUAAAUUCCUAGGUGCUUAACUUUAGUGGCCGCAGCAAAUACUACAAAACUAGAGAAAAAGAGAGGUAAGCGGAACUCCUGGUGUAGCAAUGAAAUGCGUUGAUAUCAGGGGGAACACCAAAGGCGAAAGCAGCUUACUGGCCUUUUUCUGACACUGAGGAACGAAAGCGUGGGUAGCGAAGGGGAUUAGAUACCCCCGUAGUCCACGCCCUAAACGAUGGAUACUAGACACAGGGAGAGUCGACCCUUUCCGUGUCGAAGCUAACGCGUUAAGUAUCCCGCCUGGGGAGUACGGCCGCAAGGCUAAAACUCAAAAGAAUUGACGGGGACCCGCACAAGCGGUGGAGCAUGUGGUUUAAUUCGACAAUAAACGAAGAACCUUACCAAGGUUAGAAAUCCUACUGCAAGCCUUUAGAAAUAAAGGAAGCCUUCGAGGGUGUAGGACAGGUGCUGCGUGGCUGCCGUCAGCUCGUGCCGUGAGGUGUUCGGUUAAGUCCGGUAACGAGCGCAACCCUUGUCCUGUGUUAUAUUUCACACAGGAGACUGCCGGCGUAUAGUCGGAGGAAGGUGAGGAUGACGUCAAGUCCGCAUGGCCCUUGAUACCUUGGGCCACACACGUGCUACAAUGGGAAGAACAAAGGGAAGCUAAGCCGUAAGGUGGAGCAAAUCCCAUCAAAUCUUCUCUCAGUUCGGAUAGAGGUCUGCAAUUCGACCUCUUGAAGCUGGAAUCGCUAGUAACCGUGGGUCAGCUAUACCACGGUGAUACGUUCUCGGGUCUUGUACACACCGCCCGUCACGUCAAGCGAGUUGGUAUACCUAAAUCUCUUCUUCGGAAGGGCCUAGGGUAGGAUCAGCGAGAAGGGCGAAGU